CCGUACUGGUGUUAAGAGGUCGCCGGAGC
rnacentral:sRNA from 1 species